UGCGAUCGCGCGCGGUGCCGGCGGCUCUCGGAAGCAGGACGCGGCUGCUGCAGCUGGCAUCUGUGACUCGGCCUUCUCCACGGCAUUCUCCCGCCUGGCGGGUGCCCACCCCCGGCUGCCCGGGCCCCGCGGACUUGGAAACCUGAGGCCGAGAGAGGAUCUGCCUUUAGCGAGUUCCUGGACUGGCAGAGGGGUUUUCCCGGCGCAAUCUGUGGGUUCACGAGGGCGAUGCGCAGGGAUGAAAAGAGAAAAGGUGCGUCCAGGACCGGUGCUCUGCCAGCGCAAGGAGGCGGAGCGCAUUCAUGGGGUCCUCCCGGCGCCUGGCUUAUGCCUGCGGCGCGCCCACCCCUGGGGACCGCGAGGCAGCCGCUUGGGGACCCCAGGCGAGAUUCCCCGCCAUCUCUGCGGUGGAGAGGCUGGGGGUUGGCGGCGCUUUGGCCUUGAAUGGACAGUGGGGAAAGGGAUGGGGGCUCCCUAACGUGGAUUACUUGGCGCUUAUCAGCUGGGCUCAGAAGACCCAGGACUCCUCUUCAUUAGUGGAUUGAUUCCUUCUACCUAACAAUCGGUCGCUAAGCUGGAGGUGAAAUCAGAGGUUCCCUGCUGACUUGAUGAGAGCUUCGCCCCAAGAAAGAAGGCCAAGGACAGAGGCCUGGGGACGAUGACCAAGUGCUGGCUUCCUGGCCCACACCACCCACCGCAAAGCCUCCCAGAACCAGCGAAGGCCCCCAGCACCCCUUGAAGGACUUGGCUGAGGUCAGAUCACCUCUUGAGAGUCAAGAGCCCUGGAUUUGAUUAAGAAUUCUUAUAUUGGAGAAUAAAGAAACUUCUGGACUCAUGGAGACAUGUGGGUGGAAACAAAGACCCACCCUAAGAAGCAGCCACACGUGGACCUGAGCGAGCAGGAGGGGCAUGGCUGGGCCACCUGCAGCCAGAGACGACUCCUUCUCUCAGACUCGGACCUUCCUCCUGUGGAAAACGUGGCCUCUGCUGCUUCCUGCUCCUGACACUCUUCCUGGCCCCAGCCCAGCUCCCAGGCUUUGUCCUACACCCUUCCCUGCCUGCCUCCACCUCCCUACCCAUCGUGCCUUUGGACUCAGCGAGUCUUCUUGCUUGCCGGCCAGAUGCAGAGUAAAUAGUUAACUACACUUGAGUCAAAUGAGAUCUUGGGUUUUGUUCCUGCUCCUUCUAAAGCGGCCGCCAUUUGUACAUUGUGAGCAGCUCAGGAAUGGUAUUUGGACCUGCCCCUGCGCACCCAGGUUCCAGAGUGACCAAGAGUCAGUGUGGAAUUCCUUCCGGCUAUCGGUCAUCAGGGCCAUUGGAGAAGGCUCAGGCGGGCAAGUUGGAUGGUGAGGGCUGGUAUUCUCCACAUCCAGCUCUCUAGGUGGCUUCCAGAAGGACAAAAAUGAUCGGUUCAUUCCAUCUUCUGACGGAUCCAGGCAGCUGUGAGGACCCUCUUCUCAGGUGGCAGCUGGGCUCCAGGCAGGAUCUUGGUGCUUCACAACAUACAAGCUGGCUACUGGGGUUGGUAGUGUUUAUCAAGGACCGUCCUCUCCCAGUGUCUUCUGGUGACACUACCUGAUAGUGACUUGAGUCUUCUCUGUCCCUUUUACUCUGCAGCCACCAUGAUCAUGGUUGAAAACACUAAGUCCUGUCACAGUCAACCUCAUCCAACAUGCAGUCAAAGAUGAGUGUACUUUCUAAUUUCCAAAGUGAACAGACAGUUUGUUUUCAUAAAAACAAUUGAAGUUUCCCUGUGUGGUGUGUGGUGCGUUAUGGUGGGUCAGGACUUGGGGUCAUUGUUGGCAUCUCCAAGUCACCACAAAAUGAUGGAGGAGAGCCUCCCAAAGAUGUUCAGUGCUACUGAAAUUGGAAGAGGAUGUAUGGGAGUCCCCUUCCUUCCCUGGCACUUGCGGGCAGCCAUCAUACUGUUCAGAUUUGUUCAGGUUUCAGAAACAGAGGCCCCCUGGUAUCACCUCCGUGAACGAGGUGUAUUUUAAAGUCACGGGGGAAGCGAGGCAGAGGAGGGACAAUUCCAGCAGCUACCCAGCUAGGCCUUGUCAAGAAUCCCGAAGUCAUUGAGCACACCCAGUAGCUAUGGCCUGUUUCCAGGGACAGCAAGUGUCACAUCUGGUCGUCUUGAUCCUUUAUUCUGAUUCCCUGCUCCUGACUCUGGAAUUCUGCAGUGGGGAUGAACAGGGGGACCUACUGUCCUUGUUUGCAUAAGCCUAAGGUGUUUCUCAUAACAGAGGACUUUCAGGGCUAAACCUGGGACAUUCUUGGGCAAAUUGGAAUAAUUGGUCGCCCAGCUAGGUGACCCGGUGACCUUGCCUCUACUACUUUUCCUACUGUAAUUGAUGGAUGCUUCUGAUAGGCUUGGCCAGAUACCAUUCAGCGCUCUGCAUCUGGUCACUUCAUUGGCCACUACAGUCUACAGAUAGAUGCUAUUGGGUCAGGCACCAUUCCUGACCCAGUUAGUUCUCUCCUGAAUGGAAGGGUUGCAUGGUAUUGAAUAAAAUCCUGAGUAGGAGGAGCCAGAUGGACAGUGUGCAUGGCGGGGAUUCAGGGUCCCAGGGAUUUCUCUCUAAUGCAAGCAUACUAACACAGGUAGAACUAAUCUUUCCCAUUAAAAACAAAACCGUUCAUUAAGAAACAAAAAUAUAUAUAUAUAAAUAUAUAACAUAGCCUUUGGGAACAGUGGAAAAUGGUGACGUGUGUGUUCAUGUGCUACGCAGGAUAAAAAUUCUACAUCUUUGCUAGACAGAAACAAAGAACUAAAACCUUUGGGAUGGUUUUGUCUGGAGAGCAAAAGAGUUGGCGAUGAGUUGACUUCCUGAAAUUCCUUUGAACUCUAGAAUUAUUUAAAAUGUCAAGGGCGUGUAAAUUGGAGCUAAGUGUGUACUUUCUUACUGAAGUCUCCUGGAUAACCUUUGCGUUCCACUCAGAUAGUGCUGAGGGGGACCUCCCAGCUCACUCUUCCCUAUGCAGACACUGACUUUAUCUGGGAUAAGGGAGCGGAACUUGGAGGUGGUGGCGGGGGAGCGCAGGAGGGCAGAGUUGGGCCUGCCCAAGUUUUUUGGUGUUCAUGACAAGUAAGAACAGUCAGAGGCAAAUUAUAGGUUCUUCUGCAGGUUAGAAAAGCCAGGUUUUCAGACUUGCAUGACACCCUGAAGUUGUUGCUGCUUGUCGAGGGAUUCGCCUUCCAUCUUUUCUGCUGAAAGACAGGCAUGAGCAUCCGCCAUGUUGGAACAUGGGCCCUCAGCUGAUCUUGCACCCUGUGGCCACAGGGAGGACAGAGGUGAGGGUGCAGGCUCCAGAGCCUGUUCUCAUCACUCCUGAGAUUCCCCGAGUUUACCUCUGAACUGACCUAUCUUCACAGAUGGGGGAGGGAUGCUGGCCCAGCUGCUUGGGUGCCAUUUUUCUUUUUAAAAAAUGAACAUUUCAGCUGUUCCCUUCAUGUGUGUCCUGCAUUCAUUCUUUGGUUCCAGAAUAAUCGUGCUGUUGGGCCAAAGGCAACAACUCCCCCGACCCCAUACACACCCCCGCUCUUCUUAUCUUCUCAUCCACAUAGAAUCCCAGGGGCCAAAAUGGUCUCCAACCUCGCUCUUCUCUGGAUCUACCUCUGACUCAUGCAGGAAUCCCCUUUCAAACAUCUGGUGAGGGCUCGUCCAGCCCUCGGGGAGGCAACCUUUUUGGCAGAGUGGGAGAUGUGAGGGAAGGUUGAAUAUUAUUCUCCUACUUGAGGGGAAGCAAGAGAAGUUUGAAGAGCAAUUCAUGGCCUGCCUGCCAAGAGGCCACGAAUAUCAAUUUCUUACUGAGAUAGAAGCUAAAUGCAUUUUGCCCUCUUCACCCACAUCUCUCCAUCUCUUAUUUCUGGAUCCAGGCAGUAUAUCUUAUGCUGGUGAAAAGCGCUGGCUUGGGAGACGGGGGAACCCGAGUUCUGUCUCAGAGUCCCUCAUCUUAGUUCCAACCAUGUAAAGGAGGGUGUUGAGCAUGUGGUCCUGGGACUCCCUUAGAGCUAUGUUCAAUGCCCUCGGCUUUGGCUAGCUGCAAGGUCACAUGCCAGUAAUCAGGCCCUUUCUCUGGGCUGGUCUUGACAGUCCGCUACAGUUCCUUCCUGGGUCACAUUCCCAUCCCUGCCUGACCCAGCAGGGGUCUGACCAUUCCCUGACAAGUGGCACGUUGUCCCUUUGCCUUGGGGCUGCACGAGUCAAAACCAGAGCUGCCCCAAGGAAGUCCAUUACCAAAGAAUACUUCAAAGCUGUUUGCACAUGCUGUCAGUCGCACUGAGCACAAGUUUGUCGAGGGAGAAGGCAAACAGACACACAGCCGAUGACAGGAUGGGUGGAAGGGAGACUAUUUACCCCCCGGGGGACAGGGAGGCAAGGAAAAAACCUGCCUGCUGUUUUGACCAAUAAAUAAGAACUGGGAGCUCUGCGUGGCUAAAACUGUAGGGGAUUUAUUAGUUUGCUUAGUGAAAGGCAAAUAUUAAGUCGUAGCUGACCCGUCCUGGGACCUGCCUUUUGGCUUUUGUAUGCCGUCAGGCGCCGAUCACUGGGUACUCGAGGUUAUCAAGUUCUGUUGAAGGUGUGUGUGUGUGUGUGUGUGUGUGUGUGUAAUUGUUUUCCGUCUCCUUCUCCUCUUCCUCCUUCACCUGCCCCUUCCCACUGACAUCCCCCUUUUUCUGGUAACUCAGGUUUGGGGCUUGGAGGGGGCAGAAGCCAUGUUCUGCUCAUAAAACUGCUGCUCCCCAGGGCUCCUGCUGGCCUGGAACUACUGGUGCUGGUGAUGUGGCAGCUUGGGAAUGAGCCCACGGGUGGUCCUUGCUGGAACCCCACCAUCCUCAACAUCAGGUCCCAGGCUGGCAGGCAAAGUCGUUCUCUCUUUAACCUGAGAAUGAGCAGAAUUACAAGCAUCAGAAAAGAACAGGUCACAGCUGUUUCUGAGCUGUGAUCGCUCCAUCCUGGGUGACAGGGCCUACCUACCAGGACAGAUGGUUUUAGCCUCAUUUGCUGAAAGAUGAACUACUCAAGGAGGGGCCGACCCGACCUGGUGACUCACUCUCCAUGGAGAGUCCAUAUCGGAUCAGAGGGGCUGGACAGGCUGUCCAGUUUCCAAGCAUGAGCUGCGCCGGAGCUGGGUGCAAUCUCUUUACACUUUGCUUCCUCCCCCGCAGUGCAAACCAGUGUAUUCUAAAACGCUUCAGUGCUGGGGUGCUCAGGACUCACAAGGAGUACAGGACAGCAGGGCACGCUGCUCCAUGACAGACCCUCAGGGCCCUUUGUCAAGUCCACCCCUGGCUCAGGACGCUGCCAUUCUGUACCUAUUAGUCAUAUGGCCAGGAGUUGGGAAUGUUCUGGAAUUGCUUCAUUAAGAAAGUUCCUCUCGCAUUCCGGUAAUGAGUUUUUAUUGAACUCUGUGUGUGAGUCAGCUUUCCAUCACCAUAACAAAUGCCUGAGAUAACCAACUUACAAAGAAAGAGAAAAGGUUUAUUUUGGCUCACAGUUCUGGAGAUUGCAGCCCAUGAUCUGGCAGAGCCGUGGCUUAGGCCUGUGGUGGGGGCGGAAGUAUAUAGCAGAGCAGAACUACCCACCUCAUGGCUGGAAAGUGAAAGACAACAUGGGACCACAGACCCCUUCCUGAGGCACACCCCCAAAGGCCUGAUGAUCUCCCACUAGGCCCCACCCACCUCUUAACAUUUCCACCACCUCCCACCAGCACUGGGUUGGAAACCAAGCUUUCAACUCACAGGCUUUUAGGGAACAUUCCGGAUCCAAAUGUUGGCAUUUUUCUUCCUUGACCACGGAACUUUAGUAUCUCAUUGUGCUUAUUUGGAACUUGUUUUGGGUGUCCCCUUCACCCCCAGCAUGCUCACUCUUUCUCUUUUAAGAACUGGGUCAUUCCUUACUUAUUGAAUUCAUCCCUGAAAUGCCCAAUAAUGUUCAAGUCCCAGGGCAGGCACUCUGUGGUCAUCUCAUGCAGUCCCUCACUUAAUCCUCAGAAGACGGAGACUUCAAGGAACCAUCCAUUGCCUCCACCAAAUCUUUCAUGUAAGUGUUGGAAUUCAAACCCAGGGUUGUCAAGGUCUCAAGUUCAGAGCUAGUAAAUUUGCAGUGUGAUGGCUUUAAAUGAUGCAUGUACAAGAAAGAUGUUGAAUCGACUUUUCCUAUUGACAGUCUGUUGCUGUGUGUACCUCCAAAUUUGCCUGGUUUUUGUUUGCCCAGUACUAAUCAAUAAAGUGUUAUCUGAACAACAGUGAAAAUCGGUGCCUUUGAUUGGUUGCUUUCCUUGAAGGAAAUAGAAUGUGUCUGGAUAUUUUUUUCUCCCAGUUAACUGCAGGCCAGGUUCAUGUUUAAGGUUGGAAAGAGAAAUAUGAAUUCAAGUUUAGCUCAGGAUUUCUAGAGACUUUUCUCUCAUCUACCAGGAAGAAAUAUAGAGCACAUACAUACACACACAUCUGAGGUAGUCUCUGCUCUCAGAAUCUUAUUUAUGAGACCAGAGAAGACCAGCACACAUGAAGCCAUCGAUCACAUUGGCAAAGGAACUAUUGCUAGAGCCUCUGGGUGGAUCAGGACCCCUGAGAUUCACCCUAGUGUGAACUUUCCAUCAGAUUGCAGGAGGAGAAGUUGGACAUCAGUGGGUAGAUCCAUAGGCACAGGGGCUCACCAGGUUCCGGGGCUCACCACGUGGGGACCAAGGGCAAAGACAGGAGGCUCCGCUCCAGAACAAGCAGCCCGGGGAGGGGGAGGUUGUGCCCCUGCCACCUGGUCACUCCCUGCAGAGAGAAGGCUAGAACAGAGGAGCCAGGAGUGGCCAGAGCUCCAUAGCAUUUGGGGGAGAGAAGCACAGCAAGCUCUCCCACUCCUGGCCUUUUACAAACAUGAACAGUGAGAGCUGGGACAAGGAGGAGGCCAUCUGUGGACCAUGGCCACCAGCAGUUGUUUCAGAAAAGGAAAAAAAAAAGUGGUAGAAUAUUCUGCUGAGAGAAAUGAGGCCAUCCAUAAAGUAAGUCAGUGGUUUCAUGGAGAUCUGCAAUUUUAAAGCUCUUUGAAUCUCUUGAUGACUUUUUGAGAAGGUUUUGAGACCUUUCUUUUAUUGAUGAGGAAACUGAAAGUGAGGGAGAUUGAAUGACUUGCCAUGGAGCAGACUGUGCAAGGGCAGUGUUAUGGCCAUUACCACAAAGUAUCAGUCCCAGCAGGCUGCUGUAACAAAACACUCUGAAUCUCCUUUUUCACCUGAGUUUUUCUCAUUGGCACUGUAGUUGAAUAGGAGCUGGCAGUGGUGGGGACAAAGGUACUCUCUUUCAUGCAGAAAUUUGGGGUUCCUUGUGUCUUAGAAUCCCACUGCUUUCAGGUGCCACUUCUUCCACCAAUGAACAGAGGAUACCACCAGAGGACAUGCUCAUGUACAACUGCCAAGGCCUUGAAGGAACACCCAUCACUUCUGCUUACAUUCCACUGGCAGGGAUUGUCACAAAGGUCCCCUUGGAUGCAAAGAAUUGGGAAAUGUCCCACUCUGUCAAAGAAAGCAGGGAGAACACAAAUGUCAAUGAGCAUCAGUGAUGUCUGCAGAACAAGCAGCCUGGGGAGGGAGAGGCUAUUCCCCUGCCACCUGCCAUGACACCUGGGUCCCCUUCAUCACAGUGGCCAUUGAGAAUCGCGAGUUCUGGCCACCUGAAUGCCCUGUCAUCGCAGACCUCUGUGUAGGUUUAGAGCUUUUCUACUGUGAAUGUUGGAGAUUUUAGGACUCCUGUGAAGGUUUAGUGAUGCUUAAGGGUAGAGGGUGGGCUGACAGCUCCAGUCCCAGAUCCUCUUCAAGACUUUUAGCAAUGCAGCCUCAAGU